AUUGAACGCUGGCGGCAGGCCUAACACAUGCAAGUCGAGCGGAUGAAGGGAGCUUGCUCCUGGAUUCAGCGGCGGACGGGUGAGUAAUGCCUAGGAAUCUGCCUGGUAGUGGGGGAUAACGUCCGGAAACGGGCGCUAAUACCGCAUACGUCCUGAGGGAGAAAGUGGGGGAUCUUCGGACCUCACGCUAUCAGAUGAGCCUAGGUCGGAUUAGCUAGUUGGUGGGGUAAAGGCCUACCAAGGCGACGAUCCGUAACUGGUCUGAGAGGAUGAUCAGUCACACUGGAACUGAGACACGGUCCAGACUCCUACGGGAGGCAGCAGUGGGGAAUAGUGGACAAUGGGCGAAAGCCUGAUCCAGCCAUGCCGCGUGUGUGAAGAAGGUCUUCGGAUUGUAAAGCACUUUAAGUUGGGAGGAAGGGCAGUAAGUUAAUACCUUGCUGUUUUGACGUUACCAACAGAAUAAGCUCCGGCUAACUUCGUG
rnacentral:rRNA from 1 species